rnacentral:rRNA from 1 species
GGGGGAACUGAAACAUCUAAGUACCCCGAGGAGAAGAAAUCAACCGAGAUUCCGGUAGUAGCGGCGAGCGAACCUGGAUUAGCCCUUAAGCACUCGGUGAAGUAGGUGAACAAGCUGGAAAGCUUGGCGAUACAGGGUGAUAGCCCCGUAACCGACGCUUCAUCGAGCGUGAAAUCGAGUAGGGCGGGACACGUGAUAUCCUGUCUGAAUAUGGGGGGACCAUCCUCCAAGGCUAAAUACUCCUGACUGACCGAUAGUGAACCAGUACCGUGAGGGAAAGGCGAAAAGAACCCCUGUGAGGGGAGUGAAAUAGAACCUGAAACCGUGUACGUACAAGCAGUAGGAGCACCUUCGUGGUGUGACUGCGUACCUUUUGUAUAAUGGGUCAGCGACUUAUAUUCAGUGGCAAGGUUAACCGUAUAGGGGAGCCGUAGCGAAAGCGAGUCUUAACUGGGCGUUCAGUCUCUGGAUAUAGACCCGAAACCGGGUGAUCUAGCCAUGGGCAGGUUGAAGGUUGAGUAACAUCAACUGGAGGACCGAACCGACUAAUGUUGAAAAAUUAGCGGAUGACUUGUGGCUAGGGGUGAAAGGCCAAUCAAACUCGGAGAUAGCUGGUUCUCCCCGAAAGCUAUUUAGGUAGCGCCUCGGACGAAUACUACUGGGGGUAGAGCACUGUUAAGGCUAGGGGGUCAUCCCGACUUACCAACCCUUUGCAAACUCCGAAUACCAGUAAGUACUAUCCGGGAGACACACGGCGGGUGCUAACGUCCGUCGUGGAGAGGGAAACAACCCAGACCGCCAGCUAAGGUCCCAAAGUAUUGCUAAGUGGGAAACGAUGUGGGAAGGCUCAGACAGCUAGGAUGUUGGCUUAGAAGCAGCCAUCAUUUAAAGAAAGCGUAAUAGCUCACUAGUCGAGUCGGCCUGCGCGGAAGAUGUAACGGGGCUAAGCAAUACACCGAAGCUGCGGCAAUGUCUUUUAGACAUUGGGUAGGGGAGCGUUCUGUAAGCCGUUGAAGGUGAAUCGUAAGGUUUGCUGGAGGUAUCAGAAGUGCGAAUGCUGACAUGAGUAACGACAAAGGGGGUGAAAAACCUCCUCGCCGGAAGACCAAGGGUUCCUGUCCAACGUUAAUCGGGGCAGGGUGAGUCGACCCCUAAGGUGAGGCCGAAAGGCGUAAUCGAUGGGAAACGGGUUAAUAUUCCCGUACUUCUGACUAUUGCGAUGGGGGGACGGAGAAGGCUAGGUGGGCCAGGCGACGGUUGUCCUGGUUCAAGUGCGUAGGCUUGA